rnacentral:rRNA from 1 species
CCUACGGGGAGCAGCAGUAGGGCAUCUUCCACAAUGGGCGAAAGCCUGAUGGAGCAACGCCGCGUGGGUGAAGAAGGUCUUCGGAACGUAAAACCCUGUUGUUAGAGAAGAAAGUGCGUGAGAGUAACUGUUCACGUUUCGACGGUAUCUACCCAGAAAGCCACGGCUAACUACGUGCCAGCAGCCGCGGUACUACGUAGGUGGCAAGCGUUAUCAGGAUGUAUUGGGCGUAAAGGGAACGCAGGAGGUCUUUGAAGUCUGAUGUGAAAGCCUUCGGCAUAACCGGAGUAGUGCAUGGGAAACGGGGGGAAUUGAGUGCAGAAGAGGAGAGUGGAACUCCAAGGGUAGCGGUGAAAUGCGUAGAUAUAUGGAAGAACACCAGUGGCGAAGGCGGCUCUCUGGUCUGUAACUGACGCUGAGGUUCGAAAGCGUGGGUAGCAACCAGGAUUAGAUACCCUGGUAGUC